UGGCCCCAGGGAGCUCCGGCUCUCCCCCACACCAGGUCUCCUCCAGCCCUGGUGUCCUUAGCUCCUACACAGAGGACACCCAAACCCUCCUGGAACAGGGGCCACAGUCACAACAGACUUCUGUCCUGGAGACCCCUCCCUGGGCCCCACCUUGGCCAGACCCCUCUGCAGCUCACCCCAGGGUCAGUCCGGCACUGUGGGUCCCUGAGAACAGCGUGGCCAUCCUGGACACUCAGCCCCUUCCACCACCACCUGAGGUGAGCCACAGUGGCCACCAGUGGCUGGACAGGUCCAGAUGGGGCAUCGGGACCUCCCGGUGCCAGGCCCACACCCGCCUGGUGAUGCAAAUGGGAUCUCGCUCAGGAAGGAACUGACGCAACCGUGUGCUGAGCUGAGAGGCGGCCACAGGCAGCCGAGGGGCGGUCUGCACACCCAGGUCAGGGGCAGUGCCCCGGGGAGCCUGGGGUCUCCAGGAUGUCACAGAUGCCCCCUUCCAGCUCCCACAGACUCCCAGGACCAAGGUUAUGUCCAGCCUUGGUGGACACCUCCACACCAAGAGCUUCCAGACGGCCCCUAGCCCCAGGAGCCCCACCACUAGAAGCCGGGUGCUGGGCAGGCGGGCACCAGAUUCCAUGGAGCCUCCAGCAGCCCCAGAGCCUGGACAGCCUCCCCUGGGCAGGACACGGAGUCAGUAGCUAAGAAGCGACCACAGACGUUCAGCCAAGAGACGUGUGACCUACAGUGACAAACUCAGGGUCCUGCAGGUGCCAGCCCACUAAGGGCCUCCAGGACUGGGGUUUGAGGCUCCCAUGAUGUCCAGACAACUGGGUGCUGUGCCCACUGCCCUGCCAGCAGGGGAGACCCACCGAGUUGGACGUAGCCAGGGCAGGCCAUGGGCCUGAGUAGCUGCGGGCUCAGCCUGUGGGCAGGUGGACAGCAGAAAUGGAGGUGGCCCACUCCCAGACCCCAGGUCCAGCUCCAGGAGGGCCCCACUGUGACCAGAUUGGUGUCAGCCCCUCCAUCGUCACCCUGGGCCAGGGGCUAGAACGUCACCUACACCAGACGCCGGGUCCCCGCAUCUCCCAGGACCCGAAGUCUGCUGCCCGGCCCUGGACAGGCCACCCUGCGUUGGCAGCUGGAGAGGCCUAGGGACAGCAGGAAGCUCUGCCAGUGCGGCCAGAGCGACAGUCCUGUCUGACCACACCAAGUCCUGCCUGGGUCCUCCCUCCAACGCCCCACCAUGCUCCCUGACACCCCAGGGCCCUCUGAGGCCCGUCCAAGGGUGGGGUGGUGACGGACAGGAAGCCCCAGGGCAGCCAGCUCACUGGGUAGGCAAGGUCAGGGCCACCCAGAGUCCCCCGCUCCCUCACUGAAGUGCCUUGCUGCACACGCCAUCGUCCACUCUGCACAAGUGUCAUCUCACUGUGGCCCCCGCCUCAGCCUGCCGACCCACAUCCCUCGGCCCAGACUCUGGUCACCUCGGGCCCCCAGCCCUGACACAGCACCUGGGCAGAAGCCGAGGGCCACGAGGCUCCAGCUGCGGAGGAAGCCACAGGUCCUUGCCAGACCCUCGGGUACCGGGGACGCACGCUGGUGCAGUUAUUUUUAGCCACAACUGGUAGGACUGCCUGUCACGGAAGAGAAACAAGACCUAGAGGGACGUCCCAGGUCCAGAGCAGCUGGACGUGGUGCCUUCCUCGCCGGGACCCCACGGGACGGACAGCAAGACCUGGGGCCCCGGGGGCUUAGAAGCAAGGACCAGGCCAGGCCAGGCCUGCGUGUCCACACAGAGUCCCAGCACGAUCACCCUCCAGCCAGUCACCCCAGAGGCAGGAACUGUGCUCAGGAAUGACAGCCUUGGGCCUGAGAGACUCCGGCAGCUCUGGGCGAGCAAGGCCUGGGGCCGUGGUGAGCCCAGGAGGGGUGGGCGACCAGUCGGGAGGACAGGGGAGGGAGUGCGCGGCUCCCCUGGCAUGAGUGGCCCACAGCGUCCUGUCUGGCCGGAGCAUGGUCCCUAGGAAGGGAAGGGGCAGAGGCUGCCAGACGUCAGAGCAAGCAGGAAGCCUCCGACAGUCUGGGAAGAGGACUCCGCCUGGCCAGCGGGCCCUGGGACAGGCACGCAAGGCCGCCAGGGUGACUAGGAAAGGGGCGCCAGAGGACAUCCCGCCCCCAGCAAGCCUGACCGGGACCACGGACCCUCCACAGAAAGGAAACCCAGCCGAUGGCCAGAGCCAAGCCACUGCUCCACCUGUCUGCCCACCGGAUGCCCCUCCUGCUGGCCCCGGGCUGGGCCCCACGGGGGCAGGAGCCGGCAGCUGCAGACGCCAGGCCCCUCCUCCAGGCCACGGAGAAUGACAGGACAUCAGGCUGCGCGCACAGCCAGAGGGGACCUAGGAGCACGGGGUCCUGCGGGGCAAGCCGAGACAGCGUCCUGGACGCCACCCCUGGCCUUGAAGUCCAGCCUCAGGGCACAGGGGACCUGGGCCAGCUCUGGGACCCAGGUCCCCUAUCCCUCACCACAGAGCUGCCUGCUGUCCUGUGCCCAAGUGGGUCCUCGUCCCCGCAGAGGCCUGGCAUCAGCGUCCUGCCCGCCCCAGGCUGGCACGGCGGAGCAGCCUCACAACCCCACCUACCGGACUCCAGCCAGUGGCUCCUGGUGGCUCCGGCUGCGGCUCCGCCCCAGAGCGUGGCCCAGGAGCAGCCCACCCUCACCUGCCCCUGCGGCCCCGGCCCCCAACCCAGGCCCUGGAGGAGGCAGGGUAAGCCGCGUGACCAGCCUACUGUGACAGUCCUCAGGCGACCGGGGCCCAGACAGGCGGCCUGGGAACUGGCUCCGGCCCCUGUCCGCUGCCCUCAUUUCCUCUGCCGGCUUCCUCUGCUGGGGGUGGGGAGGCCGUGGCCGCCUGUCCUGCUGCUGCUGGUUCCUCAGUGACAGCAGGCAGGGCCCAGACGCUGAAGCCCUCCCAGCACCGUGGCCCUCGGGGGUGGGGGGGGGGUGACCCGAGUCUCUCCACCAAGGACCCACCUGGGGACAGGACGGAGCGACCCAAGGCUCCGGGCAGCAGGCCAGGCUCCCUUGAGGUGAUCUCGCCCAGACUCCCCCCCCCCAGGCAAGGCUGGGUUGGCUCCCUCAGGCCCACCUGGUCCUGCCCCCAGGGCCAGCCUCUGAGAGGGACAGGCCUCCUCAGAGCCCAGGAGGGCCUGGCAGGGGGCUGGGAAGUGCUCCCCGAGCAGGACAGGUGUUGGGGACAGCCAUGCCUCAGACACAUCCCUGCUCACCCCCACUGCCGAGGGCCCAGCACCCUGAGGAACCAGGGGCGACAGUCUGCACAGCGUCCUGGGGCUGCCUAGCAAAGUGCCAAGACUGAUACCCCCGGUUCUGGAGGCCAGAGGUCAGGUCCAGAAGCCCACAGGGCCACGCUCCCCAGCAAAGUCCAGGGGAGGGUCCUCGCCUCCCCGUCCCUGCCUCUGUCCUCUCGUGGCCGUCUUUCUGCCAGUGUCUGUGCUCCCUCUUCAGGUGGCCCCCCGCCUGGCCUGGCCUCGUCCUAACGCAUUCCGUCUCCAUGAGCUAGUUCCCACGUGGCCCCCUCCGAGGUCCUGGGUGGGCACGAAUCUGGGUGACACCCUUCAACCAGCCAACUCCUCCAGAGGAGCCCUGAGGAGGGGCGGUGGCAUCCACAGGUGAGUGAGGGGACUCUGGCCAGUCCCCAGAGUCUCAGGAGCCACCCACAGCAGGGGCUGCCGAAUCUCACAAGACACUCGUCCACAGUCACGCAGUCCACGCAGGUGGUCAGGGCUGGGGCACAGCGUGGGGGUCUGGGCACCCUGAAAUGCACAGAGACCCAAGGCAGAGCCUUCCUACACGUUUCAAGUCACAGCCACCACAGGUCCAGCCAGGCCAUCUGGGGGACUCAGGCCCACGCCAAAGCCAGCAGCACCAGCGGGCCCAGUUCAAGGUCCCCCAAGAGAGAGGGUCUGGCCUGGGAAGGACCAGGGAAGGCGGCUCCAAGCCUGGGCUCUGACCACAGAAGCCACAGGUACAGACGGCGGAGGACGUCCACUGCCCCGCGUGUGCCCAGGUGCGGGUGUGCGUGUCAGGUGUGUGUGGGAUCAGUGGGCGUGAGGCACAGGAGCACGUGUGUGUACGUGUUCACGGGUGUAUGAACCCGCAGGGGCAGGUGGGUGGCUGGGCCCUGGGCAGGGUGGGAGCAGGUAGAGCCCAUCUGAGGGAAGGGCACACCCCACUUCCUGGAGAAUGUGCCAGAAGGGAGAGAAAGGGUUUCCCUCCCUGCCCAGGGCCUGGGACCUCACAUCUCCUCCCUGGCCUCAUGAGCUCCCUCCUGGGCUCCCAGACCACUCCCCGGCUCGGCCAGGCUCCUGUCCCCAGGAGACGCUCUGCCUUCACCCAGGCCCCACAGCCCCAGGCUCAGGAGUCGGGGUCACGGCUCUCUGGUUUCCAGGGCCCAUCUGUGAGCCAGGAAGCAGGACGGGGAUAACACCCGGCUGUCCCAGGGCACCUUCUUGGGCCCUUGGGCCCCCUGAGUCCCUCACCCCUGUGCUGCUCGACCAGGCCUGGUCUGGGACUCGGCCUCCUCUGCUGCAUGGUCACUGUGGGCCCUGGUGCGCCUGGCUGUGUGCCUGGCCACACAUGGACCCGGGAGGAGCCACUGUCCUGGUGAGGCUGGGCCUCCCCAGAGGGGAGGAUGUGAGCUGAGGGGCUGGAGGAUGGGGUGGGAAGUGGGGAAGGUGCUGGCCCAGCUGCCCUGUCCUCCACGAGUCUCCACACACUCCAAGUGCUGCUGACUGGUCCAGGACACCUGACCGGGGACAGCCUUGACAAACACUGUCCAGGUACCCAGCUCGGCUGAGUGCUCCACACCAGGGAGGAUACCACAGCCCCCAGCUUAGAGAUCAGGAAACGGAGGCACAGACAGGGCCAGGUGCCCAGGAGGGGGCUGGUGAGCACACCCUGGGCAGCCUGGCCCAGCGCUGCCCGAGCCGUGCCCGGAGGCCUGGGGGCGAUGCACCGCCACCCAGCACCUAGGACAGCUCCAGGCCCAGGAACCACAGCACCCUGAUGGAGGCCUGAACCAGCAGGAACCCACUGAGGCCCCCGGUCAUCCAGAGGCUGAGAGUGAGAAACGGGUCACCCCUGCCCUGGGGCACCCGGCAGGAGCGGUAACCCCACCCCUCAAGGUCAAACACCACCUCCUUCCCAGCCCCCUCCAGCUGCCCCUGUUCCCCUAAGACGACCCCAUCACCCUUCAUUUCUUGGCUUCCAUUCUCUGCCCACCUGGUCUACCCAGGAAAAGGCUUCACCUGUGCAGAGCUGAUCUCAGAGAGGCUGGGUGAUUGGCCCAAGACCACACAGCAUAAAAGCCACCUGACUGCAACUGCCAUGGAACGUUCCCCAGUCACCCAUGUCUUGGGUGUCAGGGAGCCAGGGAAGAGCCAGACCCAGAUGAGCAACUCUUCCGGUGCAGGGGGGGGGGCACCGGGCAGGGGCGCGGAGGCCGGGGGCACCGGGCAGGGGGCUCCCCUGCGCUGGCCCAUAUCACCCCAGGAGUGAGCAUCCAGGCCUGUCCCCUCAGCACCCUGUCCUGCCCAGUAUGGCUGGUGGGGGUGGAGGGGGCCCAGGCAGACCCCAGCAAGUGCCAAUGGCCUCCACCUCCAGCUCAGCCUCUGCAGUCUCAGACACAUCUGCCCACACCACCUGUACCAUCAGACUGCGGUCACCUCCGUGCGGACCAGGACCAACUCCUGUGAUGGACCAAGAGCUGGUCAUGGGGCACAGGGCACAGGCUGGAGACCGUCAAGACCCUGUGCCUGGCGCUGCAGUGACCAGUGAAUGACCCAUAAACAAACUGCAACCAUUGACAACAUGAGCCCCUCUUCCCUGGGUUUUGCUGGCCCCAGAGGACCACCCACAGAUGCCAGCUGAGCUCAGAAAGGACCAUCUCUCCCUCCAUUAUGGGGAUGAAGAAAGUGAGCAAGCCACUGUGGUCACAGGGAGCCUCGGGCACCAGGCUGUGCCCCAAGACUGUCUGGCAUAGCUGCAUGCCUCCAGAGCAGCCCAGGCUCCAGCACUGUCCCAUUGGACAGACGGGAAAAUGGAAGCCCAGAGAGUCAGGGAAGGAGAGAGGAAUCUCAGUGGGGGACAGCAGGUUCUGAAUGCUGGGCUAAGUACGGCCAGAGGUGCCUGCCUCUCCUUCCCCACACACGGAGCCCUCAGGGCCUGUGGGUUACCCCUGCAGGAGCAUUCUCUCCCAUCCCAUCACCUCCUGGGUAGCCCCAGGACAGGCGCGGUGCCGGGGUACAGUCAUGGCGGGGCUCUCUCCUUCCAGCAACCUUUCUCCCUCCUAGGUCAUUAAAAGGACACGUUGUAAUGACACUGA